GGGCGUGUGGUCUAGGGGUAUGGCGUCCGCUUCGCAUUGAUCAAGCUCCAGCUUGCGGAAGGUCCGGGGUUCAAUUCCCCGCUCGUCCA